rnacentral:rRNA from 1 species
GACGAACGCUGGCGGCGUGCCUAAUACAUGCAAGUCGAGCGGACUUAAAAAGCUUGCUUUUUAAGUUAGCGGCGGACGGGUGAGUAACACGUGGGCAACCUGCCUGUAAGACUGGGAUAACUUCGGGAAACCGGAGCUAAUACCGGAUAAUCCUUUUCUACUCAUGUAGAAAAGCUGAAAGACGGUUUACGCUGUCACUUACAGAUGGGCCCGCGGCGCAUUAGCUAGUUGGUGAGGUAACGGCUCACCAAGGCGACGAUGCGUAGCCGACCUGAGAGGGUGAUCGGCCACACUGGGACUGAGACACGGCCCAGACUCCUACGGGAGGCAGCAGUAGGGAAUCUUCCGCAAUGGACGAAAGUCUGACGGAGCAACGCCGCGUGAGUGAUGAAGGUUUUCGGAGCGUAAAACUCUGUUGUUAGGGAAGAACAAGUACGAGAGUAACUGCCCGUACCUUGACGGUACCUAACCAGAAAGCCACGGCUAACUACGUG